rnacentral:rRNA from 1 species
UACAGAGGGUGCAAGCGUUGUUCGGAAUUAUUGGGCGUAAAGGGCGCGUAGGCGGUGCGGUAAGUCUGUAGUGAAAUCUCUGGGCUCAACUCAGAGUCUGCUAUAGAAACUGCCGUGCUUGAGUGUGGGAGAGGUGAGUGGAAUUCCCGGUGUAGCGGUGAAUGCGUAGAUAUCGGGAGGAACACCUGUGGCGAAAGCGGCUCACUGGACCACAACUGACGCUGAGGCGCGAAAGCUAGGGGAGCAAACAGG